UCCUUACUACCACUUGACUAGCUAUCCUGGGAAAGCCGUACGCGUUCACUGCAUACAGGUCCAGUCAAUGCAGCACUAGUACAUGGUGGGUCGUCUUGGAAAAAUUGCGCCAAGCCAAGCAUACAGCUACAGCGACGACCACUGCUGCUGCCACUGGAAGGUGCCGCGAACAUUCAGCCCGUUUGUCCCAUGGCUGAGGGUGCUAUAAAUAGCACGAUGCGAGCACGGACGGAUGAUCAUUGGAGUCUGCCAAAGGAGCUAGCUCGCCCAGCCCCGAUCGGCUAGCUAGUGCACGGGUAGUGUUGGUGUCUGCUUGAUCCAUGGCCGUGUUGUUCCCGCGCCGCGGCCUCCUGGCGAUGGCGCAGCUCGCCGUGGCGCUCUGGCUGGCGGCCUUCACCGGCUGCCUCUGCCAGCCGUCCUACCCCACCAAUCCGCAGCCGGUGCCGUCCUACCCCACCCUUCCCCGUCCGCUGUGGCAACGCCGCCCAAUCCCGCCGUGCAUUGGUCGCCGGUGCUUGCCGCCAUGAUUCUUGCUGCGCCAUCGACGACGUCUCGCAGAGGCUAUACAUGUAUUUGAAUGUGCGAUAGAGUAGUUAAAAGAUUAAAUAAGGAUGUAUCACGAAAUCGACGCAUAAUGUAUAGUUUUUGAAGGCACGCAUGUACUUUCCAAUUCUCAGAACCAAUACAUAAAAAUAUAAUUUGAAAGCGACUCGAGACUGAAGGGUUGAUCUGAAAGCAAUUCCAUUA